CCGAGAGGGACGGGACGGGGCGGCGAGGGUCCGUCGGCGGCUGCGGAGCGGCGGCCGCUGCCUUGUCCUGCCUCCCGCGCCUGCGGAGCGCCCGCGCCCCGCCUGCGGCUCCCCUGGGGCAGCGCGGAGCCAUUUUGCCGAGCGGGCAGGAAUCGCCCAGCAUGCCGAUCGCCCACUUGCUGGAGCUAUGGAAAGGGAUAGAGGUGGAGCCCAUGGAGACGGAGACUGUAGUGGAAGAUGCUGCCCUGGAUGAAGAACCUGCAAAAGAGGAUGGAUUUGUAAACAUCUUCGUUUAUCUGGGAAAGAACUAACAGCUCAGGUGCACUGCAGGGAUCACAGGUAGUAUGAAAACAACUUUCCUUCCGUAGAUGAACAUAUGUAGCAGUGGUGGAGGGGGACAAUAGAACAAACAACACACCCUCUUCUCCUUGCAAAUAUCCAAUGAAACAAAAACAACAAAAAAUUACAAACAAAAAACCCA